CACAGGAAUCCUCUCGGGACUUGAAGCGCUGGGUAGGCGAGCCAAGCAAAACCGAUCAGGCGGAUCGGCGAAACCUGCGAUUUUAUGGAUCGCAGAGGCGGUUCACAGACGAAAUCGGUCUCAGCGACUUGCAACGCGACGCCAACCGCAACCCUAAUUCUUUUGUCUCAAAUCUCGUAUCUGCAACUUGGCUCUGUAUACCAUUUGUUAGAUAAUAACGAGAAAUAAACGAGACACGAAUUUUUACGUGGAAACCCUUGCGGGAGAAAACCACGGACGCACGAAGGCGCAAUCACUAUGAGGAGGAGUAUUACAAGCACGAGACGACAUGCCGUCUUAGGUGCGACUACAUGGGGUAUAUAUGAGGGCAAUACAUGAGAGUUCUUGGAGGACAAGUAAACGAGUUGUACUCGUACGCGUCAACGUCAACGCAAAGGCCAACACCAGUUGUACUACGUCUAGUCCAACACGGUAUAAUUUGGAUCACAAUUUAACAUUCCCCUAUGUGUCCUCACCCUCUGCCUUAUCUCAGUCUCCCGGGCACGCUCUCCCUUCCCUUCUUUCCUAGUUCUUUCACCUGAGAAGGCGCCUCACCAGCGCCCGACCUCGCCGCCGCGCCUCCCCACGCCUGCGCAUGCUCCGCCCUGCCGGCGCGCCGCUCGCCGGAGCCGAGUGCCAUCGCCGCCUCAGGUGAGCGGGCACGCUUUCCCUGCCCUUCUUCCCUAGUUCUUGCACAAGUGCCUCACCAGCGCCCAACCUCGCCGCCGCGCCUCCCCACGCUUGCGCAUGCUCCACCCGGCCGUCGCUUCGCUCGCCGGAGCCGAGCGCUGUCGCCGCCCCAGGCACCUGGAGCUCCCUCGUCGGCCGAUGCGCCGUACCGCCCCGCGGCCUACAGAUCCGGCCAGCCUCCAUUGCCCUUGCCGUUCCCGCGCCCGGAUCUGGCCGGAGUGGUCGCCAUCGUGCCCGCCCGUGUAGGCAUCGCGGCGGCCUCCUCCUCGCCUCGAGGGCGAGCUCCCUAUUGACCGCGUUCGAGCAACAGUUAAAAUUGUACUGCGGGUUCAAUUUCCGGAAAAUUCAAGGGCUUUUCUGCAAAAUACCAACGACGUAUGGGCAGAAACCCAAUUUGCUUUAUUAUUAGGUAAAGACUAGAACAAUGCCCAUGUGUUGCAACGGGAUAUAAAUAUUCUACUAAUAUAUUAGCUUAUGAUUUACCUGUCCAUAAUAAUGUGAUUGUGUAAAUAAAUGUUCGUCAAAUUCUGCCCCUGAAUUACCUUAUAUUUUGAUCAGAAGUUUGGAAGUAAAUUAAAGUGGAAUUGGUUUCGAAUCUAAGUAA